GACGAACGCUGGCGGCGUGCUUAACACAUGCAAGUCGAACGGAAAGGCCCUGCUUUUGUGGGGUGCUCGAGUGGCGAACGGGUGAGUAACACGUGAGUAACCUGCCCUUGACUUUGGGAUAACUUCAGGAAACUGGGGCUAAUACCGGGUAGGAGCUCCUGCUGCAUGGUGGGGGUUGGAAAGUUUCGGCGGUUGGGGAUGGACUCGCGGCUUAUCAGCUUGUUGGUGGGGUAGUGGCUUACCAAGGCUUUGACGGGUAGCCGGCCUGAGAGGGUGACCGGCCACAUUGCGACUGAGAUACGGCCCAGACUCCUACGGGAGGCAGCAGUGGGGAAUAUUGCACAAUGGGCGGAAGCCUGAUGCAGCAACGCCGCGUGCGGGAUGACGGCCUUCGGGUUGUAAACCGCUUUCGCAUGUGACGAAGCGUGAGUGACGGUAAUGGGUAAAGAAGCAACGGCUAACUACGUG
rnacentral:rRNA from 1 species